rnacentral:lncRNA from 1 species
AUGCGGUACAGCCCGGAGGGCUCGGCGUCUUCAUUUUCAACAAAUUCCCCAGACGAUUCUGAUGGGCUUUGCAAUCACCCUCUGAGAAACUCUGCCUUGAGAUAUCAAUUAAGGACGCCUGCAUUUGAAAUGAGGAGAGGAUACUCGCUUCCAAAUGCUUUUCCAAAUGCUGCGUCUGAGCACCGCUGGCAGGCACAUCAGCGAUGGAGACAGAUGCCAGCAGCCAGCCAGACUCCCACGGCAGGGCUGCAUCUAAAGUGGAUCCAGUGUGCAGGUGCCUGAGCUCCAGGUCCCCGGUGAGCAGCUGCCCGAGCUCCAGCUCAGCUGUGGUCUGAGAUCACUUCUCGUGAUUUAAAUGAAAGAAGAGGGCAUGAAGGCUGAGGCAGACGGAUUACACCACAGAGGGGGCCGCUGGCUGCUCCAGAUGAAGGUGAGAACAACGCAAGGUUCCCGCCAAAAUGCCCCGGGAAGAAAUUCCCUUCAGAGCCAGAAUCUGGCAAAAACUCCAAUACCGUGUUAAUCGCCAUAGCUGGUUAAUCGCCAUAGCUGGAUUCGAUCAUCUGCCCUGGAAAUACACGGGAGGCAGCUGGCUCGGGCACAGCUUUAAAAGUAGAAGCGGUGCACACUGAUCUUAAGUCCUAACUUCGAGUUACCGCGAGACCUCGCAGAAUCUGUGUGCUUUCCUUCCCCAAAUAUGUAAAUGAUAUUUAAACAUGUAUGUGGAUGAAUUUGGCCUGAGAGCUACCUGGAAGAGAGGCGUAUGUUUUACUUUUAGAUAAUUGUUAAUGUUUUGUCAAAUAAUUCUAUUAACACAAUUUCUAGAUAAAUAUUUUGUAAUAAAGACAAGCGGGACCGGCCUGGUGGCA